rnacentral:lncRNA from 1 species
GGGGCCUGGACCCGGAGGCAGCGACGGGGACGGCGGCGGGGCUGAGCAGCUCUAGCCCCAAACGGCUACAACCCCGGACCGGCGAUUACCGGAGCUGAGGGGUUGCUGAGGCGAAACGAGGAAACAGCCACGCCACCGUGGCCGCCCUGCCGGUCGGGUUCUGGAAUAUGAGCGCCCGCACCACUCCUGAGGGCGCCGCCUGGAGCGGACCCCGAGAGCUGGAGGCGGGCUGGCGGCCUAAAGGAGCCAGGCCUCUCGGGGGUCGGCCGAUCGAUGACUCGGCGCGCAACGGCACUGCCUGAGAGCGCGGGCACAGUGCGCAGGCGCCGAGAUGCGGCCGCUUCCUGGCGUCUCCGUCUUUCCUCGGCAGUAUCUGGGACUCUGUGUACUUGCUCCCUGUGUGCAUGGAACAACGGUAGCGCAGACAGGGAUGCUGCAGACAGACAAUACAGUCGCCACUCCCCAGGACCAAGUGUCAUCCCAUUUCUUCUGUGGCCCCCAGCUCCAGCGGCAUCUGCUCUGAGAAGCCUUAGGUUAAUCCUUAGGCUUGGCCGGGCGCGGUGGUUCAUGCUUGUAAUCCCAGCACUUUGGGAGGCCGAGGCGGGUGGAUCGUUUGAGCCCAGGAGUUGGAGAUCAGCCUGGGCAACAUGCAGCUGA